UCUACCUCUUUGAAAUCCUCCCCACUCUUCCAGGUUAAUGCCAUCUCCUCCAGGUUAAUGCCAUCUCCUCCAUGAAGCCUCCUCUGAUCCCAGGUAGAACUGGCCUCUCACUCCUGGGUCCUCUGCACUAAUGUCAUCAUGUAUAUGUGUCUUACCUGCAUCUCCAUAGGUGCUCAGUAAAUGUUAAAGGAAUGAAAGACUGUUGUGCAUAUUUUUAGCUGCCAUGACCAACAGAGCAAUACUUAGAAUCAAGGAUAUCCAAAGUUGGGCUUUGGAGAUAAGCAGGCCAGGUUUAAAAGUCCCAGCUCCCUGCUUACUGCUGCACCUCUGUGAACCUCGCUUCUUCAAGCACCUGCCACCUGCCAAGACAGGAGGAAGGUCAAACGUGGGCUGCUGGAGCAGCUGGAACCCUCACUUCAGGGAGGAAACCAAGCAGGGGUUUGAGUGACUUGCCCAAGGUCAUGCAGCUGUUAGUUGUUGAGCUGUGAUCAGCACCAGGGUCUCUAGUUCCUCCAGUGUCCUUGCAUCACUCCAAGCACUCCCCACCCCAAUACACACACCCUAAACUGACACUUCCUGGCCAUUUUGUGCUUGGAUUACACUACCAGGCCCUGGUGGCUGAGUACCUGGACUGUCCCUCACUGAGGAUUUUAGAGUCUCUCACACCCCAGGGUACUGCUCUUCUGACGAUCGAUCAGCUCUCUCUUGACCUUGUGGCGAGGCUGGGAAACACUUAAUGCAGGGUGAAAGAAUGAGGAUCACAAGUACCUGUCACCGUAAGUCACAGUUUCUGUAAAGCUCGAUCACGUGCGAUAGCGUGGGCAUGUUUGCACACCAGUAUAAUUAGAGCUCACUUUGCACCAGCGGCUGGGCAGAUUUGUCCUGUGGGUCCCCCUUCCCAUUCUUAGUCCUUCCUGCCUUCUCAUUGUCCCUUUCCAGCAGGGCCUUUGCCUCUGAAGGAGGAAGUAUAGAUGAGGCAAAGCUUCCAGCUGAGACUUCCACAGGCAAGGCCAGGGGCAGCUGCUGUACGUGGAGGGUCCCUCCUGGUGGCCCUGACUCCCCAUCACCGGGCAAGGGCCUGGCUCAGAUGGCCGGGCUUGGUCUGGCUACAGAGACCCAACUCACCUGAGCACUGUCAUUGGUCAGCACAGGCCUGUCUAACCUCCCAGGCUUCCACUCCUCACCUCCCAUCCAGCCUGCUCUGAACCAGAAGCACCAAGCCCGCCUCCCUCACCAGUUAAUGCUUGUUCUUGCCUGCUGUCUGUCCUUAAGGGCACUUCCCAGAAAGGAGACUAGAAAAUACCGUCUGUAUUCCAGACAACCACGUGCCUGCUGCAAAGUGAGAGAAAAGGGGAGAACAGAUACUGGGGGCAAGUUCUUGGUAUGUGCCACGUGGCAUAUCUAGGAUGUUCUUGUCAUUCAACAUCCUGCCUCCUUCACACUGCUCACCUCUCAAAAACCGCGGCUUCGUGGGCAUGUAGUCCAAUCAGGGCCGCGCUGCCCCCGUCCAGGACCAAUCCUGGCUGCUGGCGUCUGGGUCGCCGGUUGGGCGCG
rnacentral:lncRNA from 1 species